UUUUUCACAAGGUGUCUUGUGCUGCAACCAAUGUGCAGAACUAUCCUCACAGGAUCUCAUCACAGCAUCUGUUCCUUGUUAUAUUAGAAACAAGAUCCAUGCACAAUGUACUUUUCCAUUACAGCGUAUUAAUCAUUUAUAAUGCAAUGUGUUGCAGACCACCCUAAGAGUGCACAGGGUCUUUGAUUAUUCAAGUGUAGUAUAUAUCAA